UCCAUAUUUCUUGACUGCUUACAAAUAUUU
rnacentral:piRNA from 1 species